UACAUGGGGUGCAAACGUUGCUCGGAAUCAUUGGGCGUAAAGCGCGCGUAGGCGGUUACUUAAGUCGAAUGUGAAAGCCCUCGGCUUAACCGAGGAAGUGCAUCCGAAACUGAGUAGCUAGAGUACGAAAGAGGGUCGCGGAAUUCCCGGUGUAGAGGUGAAAUUCGUAGAUAUUAGGAAGAACACCAGUGGCGAAGGCGGCUCACUGGUCCGGUACUGACGCUGAGGAGCGAAAGUGUGGGGAGCGAACAGG
rnacentral:rRNA from 1 species